CUCCUCUCCUCACACAGCCAGGUGUCACAGACAGCAGCUCCUCUCCUCACACACCCAGGUGUCACAGACAGCAGCUCCUCACACACCCAGGUGUCACAGAGAGCAGCUCCUCUCCUCACACAGCCAGGUGUCACAGAGAGCAGCUCCUCUCCUCACACAGCCAGGUGUCACAGAGAGCAGCUCCUCUCCUCACACAGCCAGGUGUCACAGAGAGCAGCUCCUCUCCUCACACACCCAGGUGUCACAGAGAGCAGCUCCUCACACACCCAGGUGUCACAGAGAGCAGCUCCUCUCCUCACACCCCCAGUGAGGUCUGACCUCAGGCUGCUCUGUUCCAGCUGGACAAACCAAGUGUCCUCAGCUGCUCCUCCUAAGGGAAAAAAAAACCACUUUACAGAUUAACAAUCAAGCUAACAGCUUCUGUUGUGGAUAUGAAAGAACAUUACCCUGGUGGCACACUCGAGUCCUGCAGUUCUGUGCCCAUCUGCUGGCAGACAGGCAGGGCAGGCUCAGAUGUGGACUCGCUUCGAUGUUUCUGAAAUCAAAUUUAUUGUUCCUGAGAGAAAAGAAAACAUAUUUUUCCUUGUGCCA